rnacentral:rRNA from 1 species
AUAGCUGCCCUGACGUACCUACAGAAGCUCGCUACUACGUGGCAGCAGCGGGUAUACGUAGUGGCAAGCGUAUUCCGGAAUUAUGGGCGUAAAGCGCGGGCAGUGGUUUUCUUAAGUUUUGAUGUGAAAGGCCCCCGGGCUCAACCGUGGAGGGUCAUUGGAAACUGGGAGACUUGAGUGCAGAAAGGAAAGUGGAAUUUCAUGUGUAGCGGUGAAAUGCGUAGAGAUAUGGAGGAACACCAGUGGCGAAGGCGACUUUUUGGUUUGUAACUGACAAUGAGGCGCGAAAGCGUGGGGAGCAAACAGGAUUAGAUACCCUGGUAGUUCACGCCGUAAACGAUGAGUGGUAAGUGUUAGAGGGUUUCCGCCCUUUAGUGCUGAAGUUAACGCAUUAAGCACUCCGCCUGGGGAGUACGGCCGCAAGGCUGAAACUCAAAGGAAUUGACGGGGGCCCGCNCCAGCGGUGGAGCAUGUGGUUUAAUUUGAAGCAAUGCGAAGAACCUUACCAGGUCUUGACAUCCUUUGACAACCCUAGAGAUAGGGCUUCUCCUUUGGGAGCAGAGUGACAGGUGGUGCAUGGUUGUUGUCAGCUCGUGUCGUGAGAUGUUGGGUUAAGUCCCGCAACGAGCGCAACCCUUGAUUUUAGUUGCCAUCAUUAAGUUGGGCACUUUAAGGUGACUGCCGGUGACAAACCGGAGGAAGGUGGGGAUGACGUCAAAUCAUCAUGCCCCUUAUGACCUGGGCUACACACGUGCUACAAUGGACGGUACAAAGAGCUGCAAGACCGCGAGGUGGAGCUAAUUUCAUAAAACCGUUUUCAGUUCGGAUUGUAGGCUGCAAAUUGCCUACAUGAAGCUGGAAUCGCUAGUAAUCGCGGAUCAGCAUGCCGCGGUGAAUACGUUCCCGGGCCUUGUACACACCGCCCGUCACACCACGCGAGUUUGUAACACCCGAAGUCGGUGGGGUAACCUUUUGGAGCCAGCCGCCUAAGGU